AAAGAUGACAUCCUCAUGCCAGAAAAACGACGAACCAUGAUGAUUAAUCGAGCCUCGUCUUGUCCUAACCGACUGAAAUCCCAGUUGAACUUUCACUCUAAUCUCCGGGGCUGUCAGCGGAGGCAAAUUAGGAGCAAUUUGAAGGUCUUGAGCUUCAAGUAUCGUGAGCCUCAAAUACCAAAGCUUCGGUGAUUGAUAAACNAUUAAUCGAGCCUCGUCUUGUCCUAACCGACUGAAAUCCCAGUUGAACUUUCACUCUAAUCUCCGGGGCUGUCAGCGGAGGCAAAUUAGGAGCAAUUUGAAGGUCUUGAGCUUCAAGUAUCGUGAGCCUCAAAUACCAAAGCUUCGGUGAUUGAUAAACUUUAGAGCGCGUAUGAGUAACAUAAGGCGAGUCCGAGCUCCACGACUCUGGAAAAGCAUCAUCAGCCUGAGUACCAAUCCAAACAGAC
rnacentral:lncRNA from 1 species